GUCGAGGCGCGGAACGAGGAGGCUGGCUCUGGCAAAGACCUCGUUCCUGCGCUCCACUCACACUGGCCGAGUCGGACCUGGGGGGAGCGAAAAUCCGAUAGUGUCAGAUCAGUGCUGUGAUUAGACUUCAAUUCAUUGACUGGCUUGCCUUGUUCGGCCCAGUCGGUUCUGUUUUCAGGGCCCUCUCACCCUGUGCUCUUGUGCAUUUCGAUCCGAGUUUCUUAGAAUUCUGAAUAGGGUUUCGGUUGUUUUUCCUUGAAAGGAUAAAGAACAUUCAUGUUUAUGAUGAUUCUCAGGAGUACUUGAAUCUCAUUAACGUUUCCUGGACGAAAGACUCACAGUCCAACAAGACCAUUGUGGAUAUAAAAGAAACUGCGUAAGUUAGUAUGGGUGUGGUAUUGCUAUAUUAGCCCCUAAUUUCUGCCACGAGUCGUACCCAUAGAUCAACAAAGUCCGAGGAUACCUUAGGAUGAUCAAGACCAUGGAGAACAUAGAGGAACGUUGUGAGGAAAAUUUAACAGACGGAGAGCGCACGCCACUUUUGGCAGUGCCUACUUCUUUGACGUCAUCACUUUCUGCGCCCUCUCUGUUAAAGCAAUCUGAGGCGGGCUUGGCGACUUCUACAGACCAAAAGGGCAUGGCGCUAACUCCUGAGCCCAUUCAGGCCCUACCAUCAAGUCCCAGUUCGAGCUCCCGGAUUGGAAUAGCAGCAGAUUCGUCGUUACCAUCAACUGUAGGGUCUUCCCCUCCAUCGCUGUCAUCGUAUUCGCCGUCAUUUACGUCAUCGUCAUCGGUGAUGAAAAGGAUGCCACAUCUUCACAAACUUGAAAAGUAAGAAGCUGUUUACUGUUAUGUUUUUUCAAUCUAUAUCUCAUAUUCUCAAUUUUAAUACACAUUUCACAUCAUCCUUUCUCAUCCACGUUUCAUAAUUCUCUUUGCCAACCAAAUUUAAUAUUCUCCUUUGCAAAGCGUUUAUCUUAUAUUCCUUGAUUUGCCCAUAGCAUAAUAAAAUUCUUUGUCAAUACAA